UUGAGGUAUGCACGCUCUUUCCUAAUGCCUAGAUUGAACCUUAAUUGUUUCAUGACAGGACGGGUUGAAACUUGAAUGUUGACUAAUGUUUACUUAUGUUGCAGACUCAGUUCAUUCACAAUUAUUGCUCAGUUGUGUUCGACAACCUUCAGCACUCGGUCAUUAAUGUGAAUAGUUGUCUGAAGGACUAUCACUUUCUAGUUUUAGCAUACAUUCUCAGAAGAUCACCUAAUUUAGAGACCCUAUCCUUCUUGUGUAGUGAAAAUGUAAUGCAACCUAAGUAUGCCACGGUGGGUGGUUGAGAAAUUAUUAGGACUUCCCUUUCCAUGCUGGCUACACAUUCCUUUACCUCAUAAUUUCGAUAUUUCUUUUUCAGACAUUGAAGUUUUGGAUAUCCAAGUUCUGUAAACAGCACGAAGGAUUUCAUAACCAAAUUGGUCAUCAACUGCAAGCCAUAAAAAUAAAGUUGAAGGGAAAAGGUCAUCAGGUUGUUGCAGUGGAAAAUCUGCUUAAGAUUUUAAAAGGUUUGAAAAAGAUGACAUCAUCUGCUCAAAAGCAAACCUAAGCCAAGUGUCGAAGAUUGGGUUAUGUGAAUCCAGGAAAGCUUCUCUACCGUUCGGAUUGAGUUCAGUUGAGAAAGAAUUUUAUGUUGAAGAACACCACAGGAUUGAUUCCGGUCACAAAUUGAAUUUAGCCAAGAAACAACAUUAUUUUGAAGAUUCAGGCGAUGAAUGGAUUUAGUGAGCGACGCAGUUUUCCAUUUACUAGCUUUUUGGUCUUUUUUGAUUGCUGUUUUCUUUAAAGUAAAGCCACAAUGUUAUUAUUGUUUGAGGUCAAUUUGAUGAUGCAUUCUCCUUUCCUUGAGUGAAUAAUUUCAUGAUAGUUGGAAUUAUUCAUGACUUUACUCCACAUGAGUAUCGAUUUAUAAGCGUGAGGGAAAGCCUCACCUUUUAAGCUAGCUUUUGAGAAAGAGAUAGGUCCAAUACCACCUAUCAAUUGGUAUUAGCGCCGCGCGGCCAGGUUUACCAACAAAUCUAGAUCCUAUAGUCUAGGAGAGAAAUGAGUCAUCUUAGCUCCGAUCCAAGGCUCGAGAUACUAUUGGAGGUGUCUCCCUUUCGGCUGUGAGAGAGGCUGGCGGUCAAUUUACAAGUGCGAGAGAAAACCUCACAUCUCAAGAUAGCUUCUGAGGGAAAGACACAUGUCCAAGGCCACCUAUUAACGAAAAUCAAUGGCUUUUUCAAGUUAGCUGCUCAUCUUCCAUGCUUGUAUAGCUAUGAAAAGGGACCCUCUUCUUCUUUUUGUAAUCUCUUGAAUUUGGUUAGUUGGGUUCUCUCACUUGAAUGUUUGUUUGACCUGAGCAUCGCAAAAGAGCUUCUAAAGGCAAUCCUGGUUAUCCAGGAGGCGGCAGUGAUGAUGCCAGGAAUCUGAGGCGGCCAUGCGGGUUGGCUAUAGAUGUUCAAGCCACCCGCAAAACAAGGAAGUCCUCCUCCUUGUUUCUGUGUGAGAGCAGCCUCGGUGGUGCUGAUGGAAAAAUGCGACUGUGCAGUGGGACACCAAAUUUCCUUGUUCCAUGCCAAGAAUUAAGAGUUCUGCUGCGGCUACCUAGGCCAUGUGUUCUGUGUCGCUCUCUUUUAAUCUUGUAGUGAUGAUCUUAUUCUAAUGUUCUUAUCGCUUUUAA